CAGAGCUACACACGGGUUUAAAUAAACUCCUUAUCAAGGUCCUCAGCGUGUGACUGGCAAGGAGUUGAUCUCUUCAGCCCAGCAGGAUCCACAGGAGAUGGGAAAGCCCAGGAGACAAAGCAGAGGCCAGGGGGUGAGGCGGGUGGAUGCAGACCUCUGUCCAGGGAGAGAGACGCAGGGGACAUAAGAAGGCGGGGCCACAGAAAGCCAUCCCCCUGGCAUACGUCUGACAGCCAGCAGCUCUGCCUCUGCCCCACCACCCACACAAACCCAGAGCUUGUCAGCGCCAUGACGGUGCAGAUGGGACAGCUGGUCUACCCUCAUUCCACCGUCACCUACUGAGGAACAGGAAAAGACAAAGACGGGGGCGAGGCGUGAUGAGAUGGCCAUGCUGAGGUCAGGGCUGAGAUGAGGUGACACGGGGCUCUCUGCAGACAGCACGAAAUGUGGCUUUAUGGACACACGGCACGUGAGGUGAAUGGACACAAGACUGACACAUGGAGACACGGGUAGGGGUGGAGAGAAGAGAGAUACAGGUUAGCUCUUGGACUCAGCCCCGCUCUGCCCCCACCAAUGCCAAGAAGCAAGGUCACAUGUCUGGGCACAGCCCCCUGGAAGGACAAUGAUCAGCAUGGAGGUCACUGGCCUUGGAGUGGACAGCGCCCCGAAAUCCUUUUCCCCUUAACCCUGCACUUUAACUUGUCAUUAAGACAGAACAUAUAUCAGAAAAGUACAUAAGUACAUAGCUCAGUGGCGUUCACCUAAAGAACAGACCUAUUGACCUGAUGAAGAAUAAAACAUAUUAUUUUA